UACGGGGGGAGCAAGCGUUGUUCGGAUUUACUGGGCGUAAAGGGCGCGUAGGCGGCCACUGCAAGUCAGUUGUGAAAUCUCCGGGCUUAACCCGGAAAGGUCAGCUGAUACUGCAGGGCUAGAGUGCAGAAGGGGCAACUGGAAUUCUCGGUGUAGCGGUGAAAUGCGUAGAUAUCGGGAGGAAUACCAGUGGCGAAGGCGGCUUCCUGGCCUGUUCUUGACGCUGAGGCGCGAAAGCUAGGGUAGCAAACGGG
rnacentral:rRNA from 1 species